rnacentral:rRNA from 1 species
GACGAACGCUGGCGGCGUGCUUAACACAUGCAAGUCGAACGGAAAGGCCCUGCUUUUGUGGGGUGCUCGAGUGGCGAACGGGUGAGUAACACGUGAGUAACCUGCCCUUGACUUUGGGAUAACUUCAGGAAACUGGGGCUAAUACCGGAUAGGAGCUCCUGCUGCAUGGUGUGGGUUGGAAAGUUUCGGCGGUUGGGGAUGGACUCGCGGCUUAUCAGCUUGUUGGUGUGGUAGUGGCUUACCAAGGCUGUGACGGGUAGCCGGCCUGAGAGGGUGACCGGCCACAUGGGGACUGAGAUACGGCCCAGACGCCUACAGGAGGCAGCAGGGGGGAAUAUUGCACAAUGGGCGGAAGCCUGAUGCAGCAACGCCGCGUGCGGGAUGACGGCCUUCGGGUUGUAAACCGCUGUCGCCUGUGACGAAGCGUGAGUGACGGUAAUGGGUAAAGAAGCACCGGCUAACUACGUG